rnacentral:tRNA from 32 species
GCGGUAGUAGCUCAGUUGGUAGAGCAUCAGCUUCCCAAGCUGAGGGUCACGAGUUCGAGCCUCGCCUACCGCUCUA